rnacentral:piRNA from 1 species
CCGGAAGAGAAGGAACAGAAGAA